UCGACUACUCCACAACUCUGAAAAUGAAACAGGUGAUUUACAUUUGGAAUUUGUUCAAAAUUGUACUAACUUUAUUUAUACACCAAUUCCGCAAUGGCUAUUGCUAGGUGCUUUCUCGCGCACACCAGUUGCAAACAUAUUCACUUUCCCAUGGAUGUCAAUCUCUGCAAAUUGGAGGUGCCACUCUUCUUCAUCAUCUGCGACACGGUCUCUGAACUUGAACCCUAACGAGAAUUGGUGACUCGGCCGUGUAUGUCCCUCCGGACUAAGUGACCUUCUAAAUUGGCUUUUCCGAGACUUCUGAGAGGAUAAACAGAAAACAGAAGCAUGUUACCCAUGCAGAAGCUGGCCUUUCUUGUUCUGUAUGCAAAUGCCUAGCUAUCCUGCUCUACUCUAUUAUUUCGGAAGGAUCGAGAUAGUGUUGGGAGUGACCAAGAAACAAAUGAAAAUUCAAGUUUGGAGAUCGAGUAAUGGUGUAACGGAGAAAGAGGAGCGGCAAUGUCCUUUUAAAUUGCUUGAAGAUCUGUUUGGAAAGAAAACAGAUGUUACUUGAUAGGAAAAUACCCUGCACGUUAACAAAACUUGCGAAACCUUCCAACCUUGAUGAAGGCAAGAUUUCUUCAUUGAUCCAUGAUGAAGACAGUGUACCUGUUGUGUGUGUGUGUUUGUGUGCAAGUGUGUUGUGUGGAAUUAGGUGCUUCAUAUUAUUCUGUAAUCCCAGUAAAUUUAUUCUACCUUCACAAACCUUGUAGAUACUAAGUUUUAUUUGUUAAAAUCUAGGGUGGAAAAUUCAUCAGUUUGUGGGCUACCGCUGGAGUCCGGUUUGAAGAUGAUAUAAAAGAUUUUAGAAAAUUAUUAGGAAUUUGUUGGCUAUCAGUGGAGAGGACAAUUUGUUGGUGUUAUGUCUUGUAACUAAUAUGAGAAUUUUGAAACAGUAGUAACAGUGGCAGUGUUGGCCUCUUUCUUUUGCCUUUCAUGUUACUUGAGAAAGUCAAUAAAAGGAGAAUGUGUUUGCUGGCAUGAAACAAGCUCACACACACUUUUGGCUCGGACUUUAAUUUUUGACCUUCUAUUUUGAUAGGCAAAGCAGUAUCACUAUGCUACAAAGCCAAACACUAAUAUGGGACAUUUUGAAAAUUACAAUAUUUUAUCAUAAAUAUUGCAAUCGACCAGUCAUUAAAGAGAGAAGUUUGGGUCCAUUAUAGUGUUUUAUG